GGGGCUGUAGCUCAGUGGUAGAGUGCUUGCCUGGCACGUGUGAGUCAUUGGGUUCAAUCCUCAGCACCA
rnacentral:tRNA from 1 species